rnacentral:rRNA from 1 species
GACGAACGCUGGCGGCGUGCCUAAUACAUGCAAGUAGAACGCACAGUUUAUACCGUAGCUUGCUACACCAUAGACUGUGAGUUGCGAACGGGUGAGUAACGCGUAGGUAACCUGCCUGGUAGCGGGGGAUAACUAUUGGAAACGCUAGCUAAUACCGCAUAAUAUUAAUUAUUGCAUGAUAAUUAAUUGAAAGGUGCAAUUGCACCACUACCAGAUGGACCUGCGUUGUAUUAGCUAGUAGGUGAGGUAACGGCUCACCUAGGCGACGAUACAUAGCCGACCUGAGAGGGUGAUCGGCCACCCUGGGACGGAGACCCGGCCCAGACUCCUACGGGAGGCAGCAGUAGGGAAUCUUCGGCAAUGGACGAAAGUCUGACCGAGAAACGCCGCGUGAGUGAAGAAGGUUUUCGGAUCGUAAAGCUCGGUUGUAAGAGAAGAACGGGUGUGAGAGUGGAAAGUUCACACUGUGACGGUAUCUUACCAGAAAGGGACGGCUAACUACGUG